CUAUGUUUCUAAUGACAUUGGUUGGUUAGGGGUGUGGUAGAGCAACGUUCGCUUGAUUAUCUAUAUUUCUAAUCACAUUGUUGGUUAGGGGUAUAGUAGAGCAACCUUCUGGAAGAUAUCUUUAUCUUGUUUUUUAUCAAAUUGUGUGACGGGGUUUUUGAUCACAUGUUGAUCCUGGAUUCUGCAUCAGGAAGGUUCAGGGUAUGGUUCCGGUUGAGCUUGAUGAGGAGUUUAAUAACGCAGAUGGUUGGUUUACUAGUGUUGUUGGGUUAGAAAUUGAGAAGAACAGUCUUUCCUGAGUCGAGCUCAAGUUAUUGAGAGUGAUUCCUAUAUAGUUUUCGUCGUAGUUUGAUAUGUGGAUCUCAGUGAGUGAAUAAAAAUGAAAACUCUGGUGACGAUGAGAUUUUCUUCAUUUCUACAGACGGUACCAAUUGAUGUUUGAGAUCCAGUAAUAGGUCUAGACCUAGAGUGUAUUUUGGUAAAUUUGGUUUACAUUCUUCUCUUGUUUCUUUUUCUUUUUUUCUUUUUUUUUUUGUGACAGGUAACCGCCAUCCUAUAUUCGUAUUUUUCUGCCAUAUUCACACUGGCCGUACGUACGGGCGUACGGUGUACUUCUUUUUCGUAGACGGUCAUUUAAUUCUAUCUGGUGCCACUUGAAUGCAAUUCCGAGUACCGCAGUGUCUGCUUUUCUGCAAAUGUUAAUGGGUACUUGGGACUAGAAUCCAUCGGCCGGCUCAUGCCCAGCCCAAUCUAUCCAGAUAGGCCCUAAAUCAGUAUGGGAUUUAGAGUUGCGUAUUGGGCCCUCAUUGGACUCAAGCGUAGCAUGUAUGCGGAUCCUGUAUUCUGAGUUUGAUUUACAACUAUUUGUGCCUGUUAUAUGUGUUAGAUUAAACAUAUUACGGUUUCAACAGAUUUUGAUUAUCAACUUGAUUUCCUCUAUAUCUUUGAACCCUUGGACACUUGAGCAGAACAAUGGCUGUUAUCAAGAAAUAUUUAGGAAAGCUCUGGAGCAGGUAACAUUUAUUGAAGCUGUACUUGGACAAAUAAGGAUACAUAUACAUUAUAAUUUGGGUUUGCCCUAUAAUUGGAAUGACCAUAGAAUCUUUCUUCGUCAAAAUCUGGGGGAGUAAAGCUGAAAGUAGCCAAAUCUAAAGAUAUAAAUGACACACAGCAUGUUGUCUUAUAAAUGUGUUGAAGAUGUAAUGAGUACGGCACACAGGCGUGAUGGAGUGAAAAGGAAACUAAAAUUAAACAGCCCAAACACCAAAGAGAACUCAAAAAGAAAAUCAUGUAAGCAAGAUAGAGUGAGAAAAAGUGAAGAGCAUGAAAAGAUACAGAGGAGACUUGACCAAAAUAAGCAAAAGGUGGGAAGGAAAAGCAUGAAGCAAAUAGCCGAAGAACUGCAGAGUCGUCUGGAAGAUCUCAAGAACUGAGCGCACGAAGAACCAAAGUCAUGCAAAAUCUCGGUAUUCAUCCUGGAUUAUAGUAAAAGAUGUUUUGCAAAUAAAGGAAUGUGAACUUUGAAACUUUAAGGUUUACCCAUUUGUUUGAUGAAAAUAUUUUUAAGUAUUUUUUGACAUUCGCAAUACAAAAAUUAUAUUUAA